rnacentral:rRNA from 1 species
GGGGGGGGGGGGGGGGAGGGCGGGGACGGGCGGGUCGGGGGGUGGCGGGUGUUCGGGGGGUGACGGGGGGCGGACGGGUGAGUAAUACGUCGGGGCGUGCCCGGACGGGGGGGAUAACGAGGCGAAAGCUUUGCUGAUACCGCAUACGCACUAAGUAUGAGCGACGGGGACCGCAGGGCCUUGCGCGUUUGAAGCGGCCGAUGGCAGAUUAGGUAGUUGGUGGGCGAAAAGCUUACCAAGCCGACGAUCUGUAGCUGGUCUGAGAGGACGACCAGCCACACUGGGACUGAGACACGGCCCAGACUCAUACGGGAGGCAGCAGUGGGGAAUUUUGGACAAUGGGCGAAAGCCUGAUCCAGCAAUGCCGCGUGCAGGAUGAAGGCCUUCGGGUUGUAAACUGCUUUUGUACGGAACGAAAAGGCUCUGGCUAAUACCUGGGGCACAUGACGGUACCGUAAGAAUAAGCACCGGCUAACUACGUG